rnacentral:ncRNA from 1 species
AUGAAAAAAGCAAACCCGCCAAAAGACGGGGACGCAAAGCUUCGGGUCUAAGGCUUUUGCUAAGACAGCCGGGUUGCCA